UGGGGAAUUUUGGACAAUGGGCGCAAGCCUGAUCCAGCCAUGCCGCGUGCGGGAAGAAGGCCUUCGGGUUGUAAACCGCUUUUGUCAGGGAAGAAAUCCUUUGAGCUAAUACCUCGGGGGGAUGACGGUACCUGAAGAAUAAGCACCGGCUAACUACGUGCCAGCAGCCGCGGUAAUACGUAGGGUGCAAGCGUUAAUCGGAAUUACUGGGCGUAAAGCGCACGUAGGCGGGUUUGUAAGUAGGGGGUGAAAUCCCAGGGCUCAACCCUGGAACUGCCUUCUAGACUGCAUAGCUGGAGUGCGGCAGAGGGGGGUGGAAUUCCGCGUGUAGCAGUGAAAUGCGUAGAUAUGCGGAGGAACACCGAUGGCGAAGGCAAUCCCCUGGGCCUGCACUGACGCUCAUGCACGAAAGCGUGGGGAGCAAACA
rnacentral:rRNA from 1 species